GUGAACGCUGGCGGUAGGCCUAACACAUGCAAGUCGAACGGCAGCACAGUAAGAGCUUGCUCUUACGGGUGGCGAGUGGCGGACGGGUGAGGAAUACAUCGGAAUCUACUUUUUCGUGGGGGAUAACGUAGGGAAACUUACGCUAAUACCGCAUACGACCUACGGGUGAAAGCAGGGGAUCUUCGGACCUUGCGCGAUUGAAUGAGCCGAUGUCGGAUUAGCUAGUUGGCGGGGUAAAGGCCCACCAAGGCGACGAUCCGUAGCUGGUCUGAGAGGAUGAUCAGCCACACUGGAACUGAGACACGGUCCAGACUCCUACGGGAGGCAGCAGUGGGGAAUCUUGGGCAAUGGGCGCAAGCCUGAUCCAGCAAUGCCGCGUGGGUGAAGAAGGCCUUCGGGUUGUAAAGCCCUUUUGUUGGGAAAGAAAAGCAGCAGGUUAAUACCCCGCUGUUCUGACGGUACCCAAAGAAUAAGCACCGGCUAACUUCGUG
rnacentral:rRNA from 1 species